rnacentral:rRNA from 1 species
CCUACGUUGGCUGCAGUGGGGAAUAUUGGACAAUGGGCGAAAGCCUGAUCCAGCCAUGCCGCGUGUGUGAAGAAGGCCUUCGGGUUGUAAAGCACUUUCAGUGGGGAAGAAAGCCUUGGGGCUAAUACCCUCGAGGAAGGACAUCACCCACAGAAGAAGCACCGACUAACUCCGUGCCAGCAGCCGCGGUAAUACGGAGGGUGCGAGCGUUAAUCGGAAUUACUGGGCGUAAAGCGCGCGUAGGCGGUCUGAUAAGCCGGUUGUGAAAGCCCCGGGCUCAACCUGGGAACGGCAUCCGGAACUGUCAGGCUAGAGUGCAGGAGAGGAAGGUAGAAUUCCCGGUGUAGCGGUGAAAUGCGUAGAGAUCGGGAGGAAUACCAGUGGCGAAGGCGGCCUUCUGGACUGACACUGACGCUGAGGUGCGAAAGCGUGGGUAGCAAACAGGAUUAGAUACCCGAGUAGUC